AUGAAAAUUACAAUUGCCUGGGGUUUAUUGUUUAGUGAAAUCAAACUGGACCAGUCUCCCUCUGAGGUGAAAAGACCUGGAGAGACAGUGAAGAUGUCAUGUGUCAUAUCUGGAUUUGACAUGACAGACUACUUUAUUCACUGGAUAAGACAGAGACCAGGCAAAGCUCUGGAGUGGAUUGAGAGGAUGAACACAGGCAGAUACUCUGCUAUCUAUGCCAGCUCCUUUCAAAGCUGUUUCAUCAUGACUGAAAAUGUGUCCAGCAGCAAUCAGUACCUUGAGAUCAAGAGCCUGACAGCAGAAGAUUCUGCUGUUUACUUCUGUAUGAUGGACUAUAGGACAGGACUGCUGCUUUUAACUAUCUGCUGGGCAGGUGUUGAUAGUCAGACUCUGACAGAGUCUGAACCAGCAGUUAAAAAGCCUGGAGAAUCCCACAAACUGACCUGUACAACCUCUGGAUUGUCAUUCAGCAGCUAUGCUAUGGCCUGGAUCAGACAGGCUCCUGGAAAAGGACUGGAGUGGGUUGCAACUAUCUAUAGUGGUGGCAGCAAAUACUACUCUCAGUCAGUUCAAGGCCGGUUCACCGUCUCUAGAGACAACAGCAGAGAGCAGCUGUAUCUGCAGAUGAACAGUCUGAAAACUGAAGAUUCUGCUGUUUAUUAUUGUGCUCGACACUCACAGUGACA